UGUUGGUUUCCCCCUCCGCAUCGCUCGAUCCAACUCCUCCCUCUCCCUCGGUCUCGCCUCUCCUAUCGCUCGAUGUCGCUCGAUCCUCUCUAGGGUUCGCCGCCCGCCGCCGUCCCUCGCCGUCCUGCUCCGCUGUCGCCCCUCCCUCCACCUACCUCGCCCCUGCUCUAGGGUUCGCCUCCCGCCGCCGCCGCCGCCGCCCCCCGUCGCCCUGCUCCGCUGUUGCCCGUCCUUCCGCCUGCCUCGCCCCCUCCCCUACACUCACCCCUGCCCGAUCUGGAUGAGGCGUUGCCUCCUGUUCCUCUCAUCGCGUCCCUUGUGCCAGCCAUGGAAGAGGGGAGGAAGAAGGGGAGGGAGAGCAAAGAGGACCGCGGUGGCGAUGUGCCAACGUUGGCAGGACGAAGAUGUGUGAAUCAAGGAGUCCCUGCAUCUACCCGCGACCCUAGAAUAGCCGCUACCGCUGUGACCUUUCUCCAUGCCGUGAGCUUCGAGGAGUCUGGCGGCGCCAUCACGCCGGCCUCUGUCCAAGAGGUCAUCGCGCUCAACAGGCCCUCACUCCUCGGCUCCGCCUGCGGAGGUCGUCGACGCCAUCGCAGGGUGCCGCUUUGAGGCCGGGGUUGAAGCUGCCACCGAGGAGGCCAUCUUGACGCAGAUGUUGCAGGCACUCCUGACGUUCAUGCGCUCCCCUGCGAUUAGUGACCAACACACAUCUGCUCUGUCGUGAGCAUGUGCUUCGUGUCAUACAGGUCGCGGCCAAAGGCGAGCUCGUGCAGCGGUUCAGGUGCAUCCCAUAGGGGCAGCUCAAGUUUCUUUCAUAAUGCUAUUUGUUCUGAGUGCAUUGCAUAUUGAAGUAAACUGGAUGGGUUAAUCUUGAGUUCCUCCAUCAAGUUAUAUUACCUCGACAAGAAAAGGUGCAGGGAAACCAUAUAAAGUACUAUGGUGAGUCUAUCUCAAUUGAACUAGAACUCAAAUUGUAGCAAUUCCAAGCUUUUCUCUACAACUGCAAUUGGGUGGACUAUGGUAUGGGUCGGUUUAUUAGUUUGAAGGGAUUUUAAGUGACAACCUGCUACUUUUUCUACUGGUAGUGAAUUCAAAUUAAGUCUGAUGUCUCUAUCUAAUAUACUGAACCUGGAAGAUUUGUCUGAGGUCUUUAUCUAAUAUAUCAAGAAUUGUCUUUCUGUUCUCUGAACAUGGAACUGAACAUGAGAAAUUUACCUUACUGUUAAUUGCAGUUUUGUCUCAUUGCCAAUAUAUCUGCAUAAGAUACAUCUAAGGAGGCCUUCUCCGACAAGGAGGCUGCGGGUCGAGGUCGUCGGCAGUGACGAUGCCGCCAGCUGCAAGCGCCGCCGCGAGGACGACAAAAGAGAAGUUUAGAUCUUUUUGGACAGUUAUUGCAGCCAACAGCCAACAUUCUAAAUGAGUAUAAAAUGAGUCUGGUAGAUUUGGAAAGAAAGGAAUUGCAGAUUUUGUCUGGACAAAGAGAUGAAGCCAGAAAGGGAUAAUACGAUUGACCCAACUGUUACCGGUGCAAUGCUUUUGGGGUCGACCAAAACAUUUAAAAAUGUUAAAUGUGGUUAUGUGAUAAAAUCAAGUAUGAAGGAGGAAGAGAUCAACACCAGCCGCGGCAACAAAGAUGACAGUGUGUCUCACUGAGCAUGAGCAAUGGCACACUCUUGUCGAGUACCUACCAAGAUGCUUCCCUGGUCAGACUUCGAGCACUUCCUCCUUGCCGCCGCCGCCUUGGCUAAUGUUGUUGUUUCCUUGGAUAAGCCGUAUCAGCUGCCAGAUUAACAUAAUGGAACGUCGUCAGGUGUAUUUGAAGGUUGCCAGUUUAGGUGGGCCAAACAACCAGUGCGCUGAGGUCAAAAUAAGCAUGACACCAGCUUUAUUCUUUUAGGGGUCGCCUACAUGAUGAAGGAUGCUCAGGCACACAUCAUUGUUGGGUUUUCGCAUGUCAUGUCAUACUUGGUCUGUAACUGAAUCUUGAGAAUUCAUUUGUAUGACUUGAUGUACAGACGUGUUAUUCAUAAUGAAAAUAAUAUCAUUGUAUGUGCUUAAAA